ensembl:lncRNA
CAGACAGAAUGCCGGGUGGCUGGACUGUUCUGGUAUGUGUGGCGCUGUGGGGGUGCUGGGGGGGUGAGACAGCGGAGUGUGAAUGUAAGGCCUGUAUUGAUUUAGACAAGCUGGACACCCUGCUGAAUAAGACUGGACAGCAGAAUGCGCAGCAGAAAGACCUGGUCCUUUUGAACGGCUCCUCCUUCAACCAAAUCAGAGUCAACCGCAAGCUCCAUGCCUGUGUCCUCAUGGAGAUCCUCAGAUUCUUCCGGAGCCUUCUGAAGAGAAGAUCUGAGAAUGACCUGCCUCACUUCCUUCAGAAGAUGGAGCACUGUGUCCGCAAGGACAAGAACCAGAAUUUCUGUCCAGCGCUGAAGAGAGAAGCCAGCCGCCGUCGUUCUAAACAGGGCUCCAGGGGUUUGGCUAUGCUUCAGAUCUAUCAGCUGGAUCAGGCCUACAACAAGGUAUAGAACCAGGUACCACCUCACUGUAGAACCAGGUACCACCUCACUGUAGAACCAGGUACCACCUCACUGUAGAACCAGGUACCACCUCACUGUAGAACCAGGUACCAGCUCACUGUAGAACCAGGUACCACCUCACUGUAGAACCAGGUACCACCUCACUGUAGAACCAGG